AUUGAACGCUGGCGGCAUGCCUUACACAUGCAAGUCGAACGGUAACAGGGAGCUUGCUCCGCUGACGAGUGGCGAACGGGUGAGUAAUGUAUCGGAACGUACCAUUCAGUGGGGGAUAACGUAGCGAAAGUUACGCUAAUACCGCAUAUUCUGUGAGCAGGAAAGCAGGGGGAUCGCAAGACCUUGCGCUGAUUGAGCGGCCGAUAUCAGAUUAGCUAGUUGGUGAGGUAAAGGCUCACCAAGGCGACGAUCUGUAGCGGGUCUGAGAGGAUGAUCCGCCACACUGGAACUGAGACACGGCCCAGACUCCUACGGGGGCAGCAGUAGGGAAUUUUCGGCAAUGGGCGAAAGCCUGACCGAGCGACGCCGCGUGAGGGACGAAGGCCUUCGGGUUGUAAACCUCUGUCUGGGGGAUGAGAACGGACGGUACCCCGGAGGAACGCCCCGGCUAACUACGUGCCAGCAGCCGCGGUAAGGAGUAGUACA
rnacentral:rRNA from 1 species